CUACGAGUUGCAGCAGUGGGGAAUAUUGGACAAUGGGGGAAACCCUGAUCCAGCAAUGCCGCGUGUGUGAAGAAGGCCUGCGGGUUGUAAAGCACUUUCGGUUGGGAGGACUGCUUCUAGCACUAAUAUUGUUGGAAGUUGACGUUACCUUCAGAAGAAGCACCGGCUAACUCCGUGCCAGCAGCCGCGGUAAUACGGAGGGUGCAAGCGUAAAUCGGAAUUACUGGGCGUAAAGCGCGCGUAGGCGGCUAGAUCAGUCGGGUGUGAAAGCCCCGGGCUUAACCUGGGAACUGCAUCCGAUACUGUCUAGCUUGAGUACAGGAGAGGAGAGUGGAAUUCCACAUGUAGCGGUGAAAUGCGUAGAUAUGUGGAGGAACACCAAUGGCGAAGGCAGCUCUCUGGCCUGAUACUGACGCUGAGGUGCGAAAGCGUGGGGAGCAAACAGGAUUAGAUACCCUCGUAGUC
rnacentral:rRNA from 1 species